GCCGCCCCCGCCCGACGGGGNGCAGCAGGCGCGAAACCUCCGCAAUGCACGGAAGUGCGACGGGGGGACCCCAAGUGCCACUCUUAACGGGGUGGCUUUUCUUGAGUGUAAAAAGCUUUUGGAAUAAGGGCUGGGCAAGACCGGUGCCAGCCGCCGCGGUAACACCGGCAGCUCAAGUGGUAGCCAUUUUUAUUGGGCCUAAAGCGUUCGUAGCCGGUUUGAUAAGUCUCUGGUGAAAUCCUAUGGCUUAACUGUGGGAAUUGCUGGAGAUACUAUUAGACUUGAGGUCGGGAGAGGUUAGCGGUACUCCCAGGGUAGGGGUGAAAUCCUGUAAUCCUGGGAGGACCACCUGUGGCGAAGGCGGCUAACUGGAACGAACCUGACGGUGAGGGACGAAAGCCAGGGGCGCGAACCGGAUUAGAUACCCGGGUAGUCCUGGCCGUAAACGAUGUGGACUUGGUGUUGGGAUGGCUUCGAGCUGCCCCAGUGCCGAAGGGAAGCUGUUAAGUCCACCGCCUGGAAG
rnacentral:rRNA from 1 species